rnacentral:rRNA from 1 species
AGAGUGAACGCUGGCGGUAGGCCUAACACAUGCAAGUCGAACGGCAGCACGGUAAGAGCUUGCUCUUAUGGGUGGCGAGUGGCGGACGGGUGAGGAAUACAUCGGAAUCUACCUUUUGGUGGGGGAUAACGUAGGGAAACUUACGCUAAUACCGCAUACGCCCUUCGGGGGAAAGCCGGGGACCAGCAAUGGCCUGGCGCUGAUAGAUGAGCCGAUGUCGGAUUAGCUAGUUGGUGAGGUAAUGGCUCACCAAGGCGACGAUCCGUAGCUGGUCUGAGAGGAUGAUCAGCCACACUGGAACUGAGACACGGUCCAGACCUCCU